CAUAACUCUUUCUGUUUUUCUUUUUUUUUAUGUAUUAAAAAUUUAUUUUUUUUCAAGAUACUUAAACCAAGCAGAUUGAACAGGGGUUUGAAAGUCCCUUCUUUUCAGUAUGAUUUGCCCACAGAGGAGGAAAGCAGGGGUUGCUCAGUGAGCUGGGUUGUAUUUCGGUUCUUGGCCACUAGUCCAUCCUCAGAGCUGCACUGACUGACUGAACUAGCUUGACUGCACAAGCUGGAUUUUGUAAGGAUGGGUUAGGAUCAAAGAAGGAUUUCUCAUUCAUCCCCACUGUGCACUCACUUCCUAGAAACCACCCUCCUUUUGCUACUGCUUGUGCUGGCUUUAGAUCAAGUGGGGACUUUUUUCCAUCUGAAGAAUUCCUUUGGAUUAAGUGCAGACAGGAUUUAGCUUUAGAGGUUUUUAUAGUUUAAAAGAUUCUCCAGUGCCUAGGAUCUGGAUUUAUGUUAUUUAUCUGUUCUGUCAUUUUAUUUUGUUAAAGAAGUAUACUCUGAUAGCAGGGUAUUUCCUUGCUUAGCACCCUUAGUGGGGGUUUCACCAAUGUUGCCUUAAUUGAUGUGCUCCUGUGCAUUCAUCCGUGUCUCUUAUUAACUUCAGAUUUCCAACUCACUUGCUCAGUACAUUAAGUCCCAAAGCUGUAGGUGAGCUCUGGUUGAGACUGAAGAGGUUUUCAUUUGGCUUUAAUGGCACCAAGGUCUGUGGGAAAGAAGCAAUCAUCUGUUCCUGAGGAGAGGUUUGUGCCAGCAGUACCUGUGUGUGAGUCCAUCGGUCUGUCUGAUGAGAUAUGUUCAAGGAACUCUUUCUUUGGUUAGUCCUCAGAGCCUUUGAAGUUCUUCAGGGCAUUGCUAUUAACACCCAAGAAACAAAUAAUUUAGUACAUAGUGUCUUGCACUACCCAAACUCCACAUAUCAGGAUCCUUAUUUUCAGAAAGAAUCAUUGCUGAUUAGUGAUUCUUCUCAGUGACAAUCUACAACCAGGCUUUUGCUGAAACCAAGGUUUGCUGAAUUUGGCACAUUAGCAAGGGCAAGAGUGGGACUUUGAGGAGGAUAGAAAUAAGUUGACAUUUCAAAACAAAAGGUAAGUGUUGCCAUUUCAGAGCAAUUGGAAAUAAAGGACGAUGACGACCAUGACUCUUGAGAGACAUUAGCACACUCAAGUAGGUCAUGCUCAUCUUCCCCAUGAUACUCCCAGUGACAGUUAGAUAAUAGACACCUUUAAGGGCUUGAUUUUCUUUUGGAAACAUGAUGGGUUGGUUGACAUUUGUACUGGGGAAACAUGUCACUUUAGCCAUCUUACUCCAUUAGUGUUUUCUUACUGAAUUGCCUACUUACUGUUAUUGUAACACUCUUUACUUAAACCCAUUGCUGAAAAACAAAGCCUACAAUAAAAAUUACCUAAUCCAAUCCACCACCCAUGAUAGCAAAGUUUUAUGGCCAGAGCAUGAUGGAUUUAAUUUUAAAAAAUAAGAUGCUUCCUUCUGAUUUAACCUUAAUUUAAGAAAGUAUUCAAGUGGUGUUGUACUGAAAGCAGCUUCAGAAGUGCUUCCUGUUAAGCAUUGGCUUCAUUCCUCUUCUCAGUAUGGGACAUUUUCACAUUUUCCUUAAUCCAGAUUUAAGAGUACAAUUUGAAAGUUCAGGUGAACAUUUUAUAUAUGACAACAAAGAAAAAUAUCAAUAAAGCACAAACUAACAUCUCUUAGCAAUUUCUCAAGUGUUAGAAAUACAUCAAAUAUGUUUGUACUUUGCGUGUUUGCAUUCUCCCUUGGAAGUAUGACUUUGGUUCAGAUAUUCAGCUCAUUGUUCAAAAUAUCUCCCAUUCCUUUGCCAUAACUCCCUGAGAAAACUCCUUUUAUGACAUACUUUUGUUUUACAAGUAGCUCUCAUUUAAAAGGUAAUUUUGUAGCCAAAGAUGCCGUGUUCAAAAACUCUCUCAGCCGCUUUUGCAUAUUGUAAAUGUUCCUAAAAUCCCAAAAGAUUUGUGCUUUUUCAUUUAUUUUUGCACUUAUUUGUUGGACAUAGCAACUAUGUGUGCUCUUUGGUCUUAGGGAAAUACUAAGAUCAUAAGUGAAUUUAGGAUGGUGGUAAUGGUCAAAGUAAUUUGAAAUUGCACCACUCUUAUGUGAAAUUUUACAAAAUACAAAAUAAAAUAAUUUGCCUUCUCAUCAAUCCUACAUAUGUAAAGAUGAUGUAAUUUUGGAAAAUUUGUCCCAUUAGUUUCAAGAGAAUUAUAGUGCUCUGGCAGCUUCUUGUUUCUUCUCAAUAAUUUAGGAGUUUAUGAAAAAUACAUUGUGUUUACUUUUCCACUCUAAUGCAGUCAAUGCAAUUACAAGUUGUGGAGAAUCUAAUCCAAAAUCUUUUCAUUGUUGAGUAUUUUAGAAAAAUAUGUUGUCCUGAAACAUUAAUCUGUUUGUAAUUAUUGCCAUGGUUGCAGUCAGCAUCUGUCCUGUGUAAUAUCAAAUUUUCCCCAUUCUCUGUCUAAAUACAUUUUUCUGUUGUAGUUUAGAGACUCAUAUAUAUAGAAUAUUGAUGGAGGGGGGCAGUGAAUCUUUGUUUUAAAUAUACUUCUGUACUUGACAACAUCUAAAAUCUCACUGUGUCUGAUUAUAAGAAUUCCUGAAUCUUUCCGUUGCUGGGAAAUUGACUUUAGGAGUGAAAAUCAAGUAGGAAAUGACACGUACAAUUUUUAAACCAAACUUAUUUUUUAAUCUUUUGUAAAACAUUCAGGAGCCAUUCUGAACAGGAUUUUAUAGAAUUGCCAAAAAUCUAUUUCUGUUUCAAGGCUAGAGCUCAUAAAAUGAAAAAAUAUCAGUCUUGGAAGUCUCUACAAUAAGCAGAACUCUAGUGUGCAGUUAUAUAUUCAUUAUAUUCAAGCUGUUAUUCAUACCUCCAGUGAAUCCCAUAGAUUUCACUGAACAUAAGGUAACAUGGGUUUAACAUUUUAUCUACUUAUGUCAACUGUGAAACCAGACUUUGUAUUAUGAUGGAAUGAUUUCCAAGACUAUGGAUGCUCCAAUUGUAUUCUCUGCCAAAAUAUUCACAUUUAUGGAUCUUUACAGUUUUGUAUGUAUAUGCAUAUAGAAUUUUAUGCACACACAUAAGAGAAGAACACAUGUAUAUUUACAUGUAGAGAAAAUAUUUAUGUGCGCUGUGUAACUGACACACAUGAAAAGUUAAUAUUUGCUCUGGUGACUGGAAGAGAAGAGCUACCCAGAGUUCAGGAAUAUAGCCUGAUACAGCCUAAUAUAGCCUAUUAACGUGUGUGUCUUGUGUGAGCACACACAGAGUUAUAUCAGUAUCUCGUUGCCUGGGAGUAUUUAUCUCUCUGCACUUGUUCAUAAGAUUUAAAAACUGAGUCCAGCUCUUGGCCAAGUAUGGCUUCUUUGCCACCCCAAACAGAAACGAGCUCUUAACUUAAUGGCAACCUACCAGGACAUGGAAAGUUCAGAGGCAGUUACUUUUCUUGGGAAUUUAGAGACUCCUAGGAAGUGGAGGCUUCUUAAAAGCCAGUGACUUCUGUUGGUGGAGCUGACAGCUCUGACACUAUGCAAACUUAGACACCUAUAAAGGAUUAGCUUUAUAGCUCCUAUAAAGGAUUUUUUUUCUCAAGUCUGGUAGCAAAUACAGCUCAACUAGGACUAAUCUGUUAUCUUUCAUUUUGUUUAUUACCCAGAAGGAAUUUUUUUGGUACACUUUUAUGUACAAGUUAUAACUCAUGCAAUUAAAAGCACAGCAGUCUAUUAAUCAGAUUAAUGAAAGUCUAACAAUAACAUUUAAAACUGAUCCUUAGGUGAACUGCACAUGGCAGGGAAAGCAUCUGAAAUGAGGCAGAAUACAUUUGUGCUCCACGGUUUCUAGACCUCCUUGGAAACCUGCUUUUGAGUGUGAAGACCAAAGUGUGCAUAAUAUUAAAAAAAACCAAAACGUAGUCCAGAGAAGCUGUGUAUGCCCAAUCUUUGAUAUCUCUUCCAACCCAAAUUUUUUUAUGAUUCUGUGAGGUGAUCCCUCAGGAUCCUGCUUUAUGUUUCACAGGGAGUCAGUACAGUGGCAGAAGGCUGUGUUUUGUGAUCUCCUCAUCUGAGUGCAAGAACCAUUGUGAGGAUAGAGGAGAAGGAUACCAUCACAGUGAAAAAGGAGGUUUCAGGAUAAUUUAUCCAGUUCCUUUCAGUGCUAGCUGCUAACUUAUGGAGUAGAACUGGAAAAUUCCUUGAUCAAUCAAGGCUGUUGAAUAAGAAGCGACACAGACCAAGAGCUACACGGUGUCUUGGCAGUCAAGUGGGAGAGACUCCAAACAAAGGAAGAGUUGGAACAGAUCCCUGAAAAUGAAUAUACUGUACUGGAACAAAUACAUGGAGCUUGACAAUGAAAACAAUCUUCUUAUUUUUUUUUUCUCCAAAUAAAAUCAAUUGAAAGUGAAAGACUACCAUUUGAAGUGUCAAGUGAUCUUGAUAAUUGGUGUAUUUUUCUGUAAAAAUUGUGUUGGUACUUCCUCUUGAAAAUGUGUUGAUUUCCUGAGUAUCAGAUAUGUAAAUCCCAUUACUUGUGCGGAGUAGUACAAUGAACUUGUAAAAGGUAGUGGAUUACAGUCUGGAAGAUAAUAACUUAAAUGAAGAAAAUAAGCUGUGUUGUUGUUUUGGGAAAUUUUUUCAACUCAUUUGAAUAUAGCCACAGUCUUACUGCCUGCAUCUAGAUUUCUUUAAGCCCUGUAGCAUGUGUUUAACAGUGGCAAAAAAGUGUAUCUAUAGACAGAAGUACAGCAACAGAGUACCUUCACUUGCUGUAGGACUCAGCAGAGCCUUUCUUUGCCAAAAAACAGUUUCUCUGUGUUUUUUGAUCCUCUGUGGGUUUCCGUUUCACCAAGUCAUGCAAUCUUCUAUGUAGCCCACAGAAUAUUUUAGCAUCUUCACAAUCUUUCAGCAAUGAAUUCCUCAAGUAGUUGCUUGAAGUCUCAUCAGCUCUUACUUUUACUUGAACCUGACUCUUAUUGCCUGUCUGAUUGCUUCUGGAUUUCAUACCUGAAAAGCCAAUGAACAAAUAAUCCAUGUCUGUCCUUUUCUUGACACCAAUAAUUACACAGACCUGCAUUACAUCUUCCAUCUGUUCUCCUUUCACAGAGUGAAGAUUUGCACCUUAUUUAGUCAUUCUACUUCUGGAAGGUCUUCUGGAGAUUUAAUCAUUCUGCUGCUCUUGUCUGAAGGUUUUCCAGUACUACUGGCUCCUUUUUUUGAGAUAAGGAGCCUAGAAGUGCACGUUCAAUCCUGUAUGCCACCCUGAAACUACAGACACACAUUUGCAUUAGUAUGAGUGAAGCAAAUUCUGCUUGACAGGAAAUGGGCAUGGUGAUUAGAGAAAAUUCAUCUCAGCUUUUGGGAACCAUGACUCCAAAGUGUUUGUCUUGUCCCUUUUUAUAAAAUAAGAGUUACAGAGUACUCUUUCUCUUCCUGAAGCCAACUUGGCAGAGGUAGCUGAGGCAUGUAACUGGUUAUAACUCAUUUAUGCAUAGACAAGAAAGGAAGAUUUAUAAAAUAUCUUGUGUUUUGUUUAUGUCAGUGUCUUUCAAUGCUGGGAGCAUAAUUUCUAUUCUGCUAAUUGAAAUGAAGAUCAAACAGUGCUGCAAAACCUGAAUCAUUACCUUGUAGAAAUGCUUGCUAAUGCUAGUAAUCAAUCCUUUAGUUCCUGUACAUGUGUUAAAAUUCUGCUUAUUACUCACUGUAGCAUAUGGAUCUAAUGGAAAUUGUGGAAGAACUUUUGUUAUUCACUUGGAUUUUGACAGUCUCUGCCCAGCUGAACUUGUUGUUCUGAGUUUGUUAAAAAUGUAUCUCAGGCUGUGGAACUGCAGAAUUUAAGAGAAUAGGAAUUUACUGAGUCGUAUAAUACUGAAAAUAAGAGUUGGGAGACUACUCACUGAGCCAUGCAGAAUCCACUGUUCUUUUCUUUCUUUCUCACUCUAAUUACACAUAUCACAAAGUAAAAAUCCCUCUUUUUCUUCAGACUUGAAGUUUAUAAUUUAAGUGCACAUGUUUCUCUUCAAGACAUCCACAGAAAAUAAAUCAAGAGAUUCUUUAGCAAAAGGUUAACUAUUUAGUUGUAUUUCCAGUUUGUCUGUUGGGAAAAGGAGUCAUCAUUUAAUUUCAUUUUUUUAACAUCUAUCUGAAAAUUUACUAUUUAUAGUUAUGUAUUUAUAAUCAGGUUCCCCUGAGCUGGCAGUGACAGAAGCAUAACCCAGCCAUGACUUGUACAGUUCUCAUUUUCACCAGAGUAAUGUUUGAAAGCUCAUGCCAAAAGGUGAUGUCAAUUCCUUAGCACUGAAAGGUGUUAUCUUUGUUAUUGUAUAUGAGCAGCCAAAGUGGAGGCAAGCCCGAGUAGGCAGAAAGCCCAUGGUCAAGACAUUUCCAAACUUUGAGGAACUAUUAAACUUGAAGGUGUUUCACUGUACUAUAAUGGAUUUUUAAUUACAAACAAUACAAAAAUAAUUUGAUUCUGUCGUGUUUCUCUGUGACAGAGCAUUAGAGGUGAUAAUCUUGUAGUUCAGAAUUGCCACAAAGUCUGUACCUCAUGUCACUGUAUAAUCUGAACUGAGCACCACUUUGUGUUUCUCAUUUUGUCAUGUUUCUGGGUUCUUUGCUCAGCAACUGCACUGAGAAGCUUAUUCUGCUCAUGAUAUGUUUUUAUAUGGGAUUGAAAUACUCACUUGAUUCCAGCAGUGCUCAGCAUCUUGAUCUUACUGACAUAGAUCACACCCUCUGACAACUUUGCAAACCCUUGGGAUGUGACACAUUAGCAUUACUCUUUCAGACAGAAAAGGACUCAGCCUGCAUUGGCUCACUUGUGU